GACGAACGCUGGCGGCGUGCCUAACACAUGCAAGUCGAGCGGGGAACGGAUGGUAGCUUGCUACUGUUUGUUUCUAGCGGCGGGCGGGUGAGUAACGCGUGAGCAACCUGCCUUUAUCAGGGGGAUAACGCAUCGAAAGAUGUGCUAAUACCGCGUAAGACCACAGCUUCACAUGGAGCGGGGGUCAAAGGAGCAAUCCGGAUAAAGAUGGGCUCGCGUCCGAUUAGCUAGUUGGUGAGAUAACAGCCCACCAAGGCGACGAUCGGUAGCCGACCUGAGAGGGUGAUCGGCCACAUUGGAACUGAGAGACGGUCCAGACUCCUACGGGAGGCAGCAGUGGGGAAUAUUGGGCAAUGGGCGAAAGCCUGACCCAGCAACGCCGCGUGAGGGAAGAAGGGUUUCGGCUCGUAAACCUCUGUCCUAUGGGACGAAG
rnacentral:rRNA from 1 species